UACGUAGGGACCAAGCGUUGUUCGGAUUUACUGGGCGUAAAGGGCGCGUAGGCGGCGUGACAAGUCAGUUGUGAAAUCUCCGAGCUUAACUCGGAACGGUCAACUGAUACUGUUGUGCUAGAGUGCAGAAGGGGCAAUCGGAAUUCUUGGUGUAGCGGUGAAAUGCGUAGAGAUCCGGAGGAACCCCAGAGGCGAAGGCGGCGCUCUGGGCCGGUACUGACGCUGAGGAGCGAAAGCGUGGGUAGCAAACAGG
rnacentral:rRNA from 1 species